GAAGAGAAAAUACGCGUCUAUAUCUUCUCUGCUUGGUUCUCUCAGCGACCAUUAACGUUUCACAACUCACAUCUACCGCCACCGUUUCACGAUUACAAUGCUUUAUGCUCCUCAUGUUCCGUCACCCAUUACAAGGCUUAGGCUUUCCACCUGCUUCUUGCUCUUCUAUAUCUCCGUCGCCCAAGGAUUAAUUUCAGUUUGGCAUUCAGUUGGACUUUCCCAAAAAUAAGUCCAGCGGUUCUCAGAGACAAAUAGGUCCUUUCUUUAUAAACACUGUAAUUUCUGAUUAGUCUCUGUCACUUCAUUGCAGCAUGAUUAACAAUGCCAGUUUGAAAGUUCAAACGCCACCGACGAUAUGGCACGAAUUUGAGAAUUCAAAAGUUAGAGAAUGCCAUAAUCCAUGGAAGCUAUCAAAACCAGGUGACCUAUUUCAUGUAGUUCAAAAGAUUUGUCUUGUAUCUGAUGGAUAAUUUCUGCUUUUGACACAAUUUCCAUUAUAGCUUACAGACCAGUUUACAUAUCAUUUUUAUAUCAUAUUGAGAAGGGUUGCCAUCCAAUGUCUAUUUUCCAGUUAAUUUCAGGAAACAUAUAUAGAAGUUUUUCUUUUUGUGAGUGAAAAACAUGAUAUAAAGGUGGUGUAAUGGUUGUUGCCUUCAUCAUUAGAAAGUACAUGUUCAGUAGCAAUUUUACCACUCAAUUGUUUGGCUCUUUACCCGUCUCUAUUACUUUUUAUUUACUAUUGUAAUAGAGGAAGGCGGUGAAGAGUUAUUAGGCAAUGGGUUUGCCUUUGUUUUUGCUUUAUUCUCUUCUUUUUUUUCCCCCUUUGUGUUUCUUCAUUAGCCCGUGAACUGACUCUAAGACCAAACAAUCCACAAAGGAGAAGAAUCGAUACUCCGAUAACAGAGUGAUGAAUGCGGAUAACCUUCCUCAGUUUUUGCUUGAAGUUCCAAAGCAGGAAAACGCAACAUUGCAGGAUGCUCCGGAUAUUAUUUCUUCAUGGCCUUAAGAUCCACAAUAUUUCCCAUCGGAGCGGUCUUCAUCUUGAUGCAUUUUCCAAGUAUCUUUUUGUUCCAGAAUCAUCUUCAAUGUCACUGUCAGAAUUGCAGCGGGAAUUCAAUUAGUUGACAUUGAAGUUGAUUUGAUAACAAAGUAGAGAAGCAGCAAUUUUUACAGUACUGUAUAUCAGUUAGCCCAAAUGUAUAAUCUAUAUAUCUAUAUAAAGCAGGGACAUAGUCCCGCUGACGUGACGUUCUCAUAAACCAGUAUUCCUAUUUAUCUUUGCUCUCAAUUUUUUGGCCAAAUAUAUUUUUUUUUUUUUUUUAAAUCCCGCGCUUUAAUAAUAAAAAACCAGUCGCGUCUUGAGUUAAGGAAAAAUGAUUAGACGGUUUUUUUUUUUUGUGGCUUUUUCACUCCCUCUCCCUCUCCCUGCUCUUUCUCCCUGCCAACAUUAACUUUGCUCCUCUUCCUUUCACGAUUCUGUUCUAUGGCUAUAACUGCUGGAGUCAAAGCGGAACGACGCCGGCAAUACUCCGCUCCUAAACAAGAUUAACCAUGACAAAUAUAACGUCUCUGCAUGAAGGGCUGCAUCUUGCGGAAAAGGUGAGGCCUCUGAUUUCUUGAACUCUUAAGGUCCAUGGGUAAUAAGCACUCUCCCUCGUGAUACUCUUUUUUCUAUAUUUUCUGCUUUUCUUAUGGAAAUAUAACCAGUGAUGCACCUUGUUGCUUCCUUUUCUCUUCAGAUCACAUCUUUUUAAAUCUAUCUGUGCUUUCUUGACACCUCUUUUACUGCUGCAUUAUAGGAUGUACGUUGUCUCUCAUUGCUUUCCUCCUUCCUCGGUUGUUUGUUUUUUCAAAAAUAAUUCCCCCACUCUCCUCAAGGCUUUAUGUUUUUAUAUAAAGCUUAAUUUAUCAUACAUUGAUAUUCUUGCUCUUAAUACUAUUGACAUCUUUAUGUUUUACGAUGGUAGCAAACAUAAGGAAGGUUCCGCUGGUGCCCGAGGCAUAUGCAGGAUGAAAAUGGAACUAUGAUGAAGACGUAUAAUUGAUUCCCCUCUUAAUAGCUGCAGUAGCAAUACGGCUGAAGCUAGAACAAUUUUUGUUGGGAUAAAAUGGUAUAUAGAAGAAGGCAAUCAAGUAGCAGACGCUUUGGCCAAGUGGAGUAUUGACAGCUCGAAUCUUACUCUCCAUUCCAGCGACGAUCUGCCUCAAAGGGCUAGAAGCUUAUGUAGACUUAAUUUAAUCCAGAUGGCCUCUUUCCGACAUAAGCACAAGACCUACAUUAUUUUGUGUGCUUUGUCUGUUGUAAAUAUAAGCAGGAUUAUACCUUUGUAUUUUUGCUGACUGUAGGUAGGCUUCAGUUAUUUUCUUUACGAUAUGUAUAUCCUAUACCUUCUUUUGGUAUAUUUAUCUCAAAUUUGAAUGA